rnacentral:rRNA from 1 species
CAAAAAUGUUGCGGUCUCCGCAAAAUUGGAUAACUUGGCGAAACGCCAAGCUAAUACAUGAAUUAAGGGACGCGUUCUGUUCCGGCGGCGGGGCAACUCGUCGCCUUGGCGCGUCCGGCGAAUGAAUGAAAGUAAAACCAACGCCUUCACCGGCAGUAACACUUAGAAGUGCUGACUCAAUUCAUUCCGUGCGAAAGCUGGGUUUUACCUGGCGUCUUUUGACGAACAACUGCCCUAUCAGCCAGCGAUGGCCGUGUAGUGGACUGCCAUGGCGUUGACGGGAGCGGGGGAUUAGGGUUCGAUUCCGGAGAGGGAGCCUGAGAAAUAGCUACCACUUUUACGGAGGGCAGCAGGCGCGCAAAUUGCCCAAUGUCAAAAAAAAACGAUGAGGCAGCGAAAAGAAAUAGAGCCGAGAGCGCCUUUGGCGUUGUCGUUUUCAAUGGGGGAUAUUUAAACCCAUCCAAAAUCGAGUAACAAUUGGAGGACAAGUCUGGUGCCAGCACCCGCGGUAAUUCCAGCUCCAAAAGCGUAUAUUAAUGCUGUUGCUGUUAAAGGGUUCGUAGUUGAACUGUGGGCCUUUGAGGCGCAUUGGGUUUGUCCCGUCCACUUCGGAUCGGUGACCCAUGCCCUUGAGGUCCGUGAACACACAGAACCAAAAAACACGGGAGUGGUACCCUUCCUGAUUCUCGCAUGUCAUGCAUGCCAGGGGGCGCCCGUGAUUUUUACUGUGACUAAAAAAGUGUGACC